GACUCCAUGAAGCUGGAUUCGCUAGUAAUCGCGCAUCAGCCACGGCGCGGUGAAUACGUUCCCGGGCCUUGUACACACCGCCCGUCAAGCCAUGGAAGCCGGGGGUGCCUGAAGUGCGUGACCGCAAGGAGCGCCCUAGGGUAAAACCGGUGACUGGGGCUAAGUCGUAACAAGGUAUC
rnacentral:rRNA from 1 species